rnacentral:rRNA from 1 species
UACGUAGGGUGCGAGCGUUGUCCGGAAUUAUUGGGCGUAAAGGGCUCGUAGGCGGUUUGUCACGUCGGGAGUGAAAACUCGGGGCUUAACCCCGAGCCUGCUUCCGAUACGGGCUGACUAGAGGUAUGCAGGGGAGAACGGAAUUCCUGGUGUAGCGGUGAAAUGCGCAGAUAUCUGGAGGAACACCGGUGGCGAAGGCGGCAUCCUGGGACCGGCAUUGACGCUGAGGCGCGAAAGCCAGGG